UACGGAGGGUGCGAGCGUUAUUCGGAAUUACUGGGCGUAAAGAGCGUGUAGGCGGCCGAGCAAGUCUGAUGUGAAAGCCCGGGGCUCAACCCUGGAAGGGCAUGGGAAACUGUUUGGCUUGAGUACCGGAGAGGAAAGGUGAAUUCCCGGUGUAGCGGUGAAAUGCGUAGAUAUCGGGAGGAAUACCGGUGGCGAAGGCGCCUUUCUGGACGGAUACUGACGCUGAGAUGCGAAAGCGUGGGGAGCAAACAGG
rnacentral:rRNA from 1 species